rnacentral:rRNA from 1 species
AACUCUCAACAACAGAUAUCUUGGCUCUCAGAUCGAUGAAGAACGCAGCGAAGUGCGAUACGGAGUGUGAAGUGUAGAAAUACGUGAUCCGGAUUCACGUUCUUGUUGCCGUACCCUGACAUUUUAACAAAAACUGUUUUCCACUGUGGUC